rnacentral:lncRNA from 1 species
GUGUCAUAGCUAUUCAUCCCCAAGCUGCACCAACAGUUUGUAGACAUACCUUAGAGCUUUUAAUCUCCUUAGCAAAAA